UGACGAUGAUGAAGAUGAUGAUGAUGAUGAUGAUGAUGGUAAUGAUGAUUAUCAAGAUCACUAUUGAUACAUAUGAUGACCAAAGAAGUCGUCAACGUCAUCAUAAUCAUCACCAACAUCACCAACA
rnacentral:pre_miRNA from 1 species